rnacentral:lncRNA from 1 species
UGGCCUGCAGAUGGGUCUAGAGGUCAGGACUGCUAGGGAUCCCGGCUAGAGCAGCUGCCUUCCCUGGCCCGCGUUGGACCAAACUGGGCCAGACCCAAAUGCCCAUCCAGACUGCCUUCAAUGGGCCACUCCUCUGAAAGCUCCAUCCCCAACCAGUCCCUGAGGCUGACCCAGUCUUUGAGCCGCCUGCUUUCCUUGCCGGCUGAGUUCUAAUGCAGGCAGGCAGCCUCGUGCCGACAUCCAAACUCCCCCACCCCCUAGUGGAGAGAGGAAAACCACGCGCCUCCCACCCAGCUCCAGGCCCAGCGCCUGCCAAGACACAGCCAUCUCUCCAGCCACUGGGGACAGAGAGCCAUUGUUGGGAGGAACUUCCAGGCAGAGCCAAGAGGUAGCCCCGCCGGGCACAUUUGUUCCUCCUCAGGCCUCCCUGACAGCAUUUGCUCAACGUUUUCCUGGCCUGCCCAUCCAUGCCAAGUCUUAGACUGUGAGGGAUCAAAGAUGUGAAUGAAAAUGGAAAAAGCAUGUCGGCACUCGUUGCCUCAAUGGGAAUACAGAGUGUUAUGGAGACAAGACACGAGUUUGCGGAUUAUUCUUCCAUAAUCAUCCAGAUGUGCGGGCUGGCCCGGGUUGCAAAGGCCCAAUAAAACCUCGCACUCCCAGCUCGAGGUAAAUCAUCUGACUCCAGAGGCCGACGUCACGCUGCCCUGUGCCUGUCACAGCUCAGAGGCUCUGCAGAGGCAAGUGUUGCUGUCCCUAGGCCAGAGAGCUGGCUUGACACCCCCUCUUUAGAGCUUGCCUCUGACACACUGAACAUGUGGGGGACCUUUGCGUUUGGUUUUGGAAAUUUUUUUUUUUUUUUUUUGGUUCGUUACCGGAUUUUCCAUAAGUUGACAAAAAAUGUGAGAAAAUUCCAUUUUCUCGAAUUCCUUAGCUAGAUGAACAUUUGUGCCCAGCGACUGACUCUCUCUGCGGGCAGUUUCUAGAGGCUGCUGCUUGCUCAUGUGUCCCCCACCCCCAUCCCCCAAAGUCCACUUUUCUGGAUCAGGGAGAAUAAUCGGGGCAAACACCGGACCCAGUAGCAAGAAGAGGGAUGGUCUGAGGGAGAUGGAAUCCAGCCCCCAGUUGUUUCUUUGGACCUCUAGAAUGUUUUUAAAAUUUUUAAUUAGUACUAUCAUUUAAAGUUAGAAUGCAUCACAUAAAAAUUAUCUUGAAUUGUCUCUUGUCUUGAAAAGAACUGGAAGACAUGGUGACACGGGGCCAUAUUCCAGCAUGGCAUCUCUAGGCUGCCACUGGGUGGGAGCUGCCCGCUUCAGAUGGAGCAUGUACCAGUGAGCCUUUGCUGUGUA